rnacentral:rRNA from 1 species
UACGUAUGGUGCAAGCGUUAUCCGGAUUUAUUGGGUUUGAAGGGUGCGUAGGCGGAUCGUUAAGUCAGUGGUCAAAUUGAGGGGCUCAACCCCUUCCCGCCAUUGAAACUGGCGAUCUUGAGUGGAAGAGAAGUAUGCGGAAUGCGUGGUGUAGCGGUGAAAUGCAUAGAUAUCACGCAGAACCCCGAUUGCGAAGGCAGCAUGCCGGCUUCCUACUGACGCUGAAGCACGAAAGCGUGGGGAUCGAACAGG